GUCUCUUGUUCUCCUGCACUUGAUCGAGAAAAUCUUUCGCCUUUUACUAAAGAUUUCCGUGCAGAAGGACAGUUUAUGAGCCUACUUUAAUUUUUGGAACCUCGUCUUUUGACGAGGG
rnacentral:snRNA from 1 species